rnacentral:rRNA from 1 species
CACGCAGUAAACGAUGAAUACUAGCUGUAUGCGAUAUACUGUAUGUGGCAAAGCGAAAGCGUUAAGUAUUCCACCUGGGGAGUACGUUCGCAAGAAUGAAACUCAAAGGAAUUGACGGGGGCCCGCACAAGCGGAGGAACAUGUGGUUUAAUUCGAUGAUACGCGAGGAACCUUACCCGGGCUUGAAAUGCAGAAGACCGACGAAGAAAUUCGUUUUCCAGCAAUGGCUUCUGUGUAGGUGC